rnacentral:rRNA from 1 species
UACGUAGGGUGCAAGCGUUGUCCGGAAUUAUUGGGCGUAAAGGGCUCGUAGGCGGUCCAUCGCGUCGGGAGUGAAAAGCUGGGGCUCAACCCCAGUCCUGCUUUCGAUACGGGUGGACUAGAGGUAUGCAGGGGAGAACGGAAUUCCUGGUGUAGCGGUGAAAUGCGCAGAUAUCAGGAGGAACACCAAUUGCGAAGGCAGCUCGCUGGGACGUAACUGACGCUGAGACGCGAAAGCGUGGGGAGCAAACAGG